UUUAAUUUGAAUGCUGACAUUUUUCAAAGUAGGGCCGAACAAAAUUAAUUGUGCGUUUCCUAGAUUAGGAUUUUAAGUGUGUAGGUCUACAUCAAGCUUUAUAAAAGUUAGUUUAAAUUAAAAAAAUAAUGAUAAAAAAAUUCCCUAUUCCUUAAUCCUGGGAACAUUUCAUAAAAAAUCAAAAUAUCUCCCCCCUCCCCUUUUCAGUUUUUUUAGCUUGGCGUAACAGAAUAUAAGUGUUGUCCUAGUUUGUUUAUGAAUAAAAUAUAGAUCUAUAUGUUUAUUGACAGUGCAUUUUGCUUUAUUGUAAAUUAAUGAAUGUACUUAUUGGUCUCAUUAGAAUGGUGAGAGGUGUAGGCGAUGGGAGGCAGCUGAAAAAAGGUGACCAAGACUACAUCGAACAGGAACGAAAGCGAAAAGCUGAUUAUAGGGGUCGGAUGAAUCCUGAACAAGUUGACAGGUGGAUGAUUGGCCAUGGGUGACUUUUUUCACUAAAGUGAAACAAAGAUGGCUGGCAAAGGACAUCCACCACACUGUCAUGUUCGAAGACGUCAGAAUAGCAAUUGAUUGGACAUUAUUUGAGGAGAUGACUAACGCCCUGUCCACCUUUAGAAUGGACUACGAGAUCAAGAACCAAGAGGACU